rnacentral:rRNA from 1 species
UACGUAGGGGGCAAGCGUUGUCCGGAAUCAUUGGGCGUAAAGCGCGUGUAGGCGGCCUUGCAAGUCGGAUGUGAAAGCCCACGGCUCAACCGUGGAAGUGCAUCCGAAACUGCAUAGCUUGAGUCUCGGAGAGGAAGGUGGAAUGCUUGGUGUAGAGGUGAAAUUCGUAGAUAUCGGGAGGAACACCAGUGGCGAAGGCGGCGAUCUGGGAAGAUACUGACGCUGAGGUGCGAAAGCGUGGGGAGCAAACAGG